UGUCCAGGGAUGGGAAUCGAACCCACCGGCUUACCGGCCAGAUGCCAUGUCCACUAGGCUACCCUGGGC